rnacentral:ncRNA from 1 species
GGAGAAUCUUAGAUUUUCUUAAUGUUCUGUAAGAUACUUAGCAAUGCAGCAGCAUGGAUGCUGCUGCAAGCAAAAAACUGAGACAUGGAGGUCGAAUUUUUUGCGGUUGCGGGAAUUAAAUAUGAGUUGGCAGAACAUUUAGAAAAUGUUAGAUUCGUA